GAGAAAUCAAUAUAUAGGUAUUAAUGUGCCUUUGUGAAGAUUCAAAACAGAUGGGGAAAAGGUCAAGGAUUCUUUGUUGCUAAGUGCGUUUCUAUGACAACUGCAAUAUGUACGUUAUGCGUGAGCAAUCAUUUGUUCCAGUUGCUGGAUCAUUAAAGGGCCAGCAUUUCCCUGAGCACUGGGAAUGUUAUUUACGGCUUAUUUACUUUUUCUUUACCCCUCUUUAAGCUCAGGUUCAACAGAUACAGCUGGAAGACACAAUUAACCCUGUCUUCUUUAAGUGUCUGCCCCAACCCUGACCUGGAGAAGUAGCUUGGGACUGGGUUUUGUACUGAAUGCUGUUUAAUAACUGAGACAUUACAAGCAGUGAGAUGCCAGAGUUUCUUGACACUAAGAUACAGAUUGAUAUGAGAAUGUCAAGGAUGCUAAAAUGACUGUAAGAAUUUGGAUUGACAAGGAACAAGAAAAGAUCGUGUUCAGGUCCUCAACUGCUUGAACCACCAGGUGAGAGAGAAGGAUGAGAAAUAAGAUCUUAACAUUGACUGUUUAGAAUAAAUGCUAAACAGGAAGAAGAUAAUAAUAAAAUGUCUGAGUGAACAUCAAGCUGCAGAACUGAAAAAGAGAUUGAGGGCAGAGAACAGUUGCUUAUAGUUUUUCAAGAAUGG